rnacentral:rRNA from 1 species
AUGAGGGACAAAACAAAAUCCAGCUCUGCCAUGAAGAUUCAAGUGCGCGAUGCAUUUAGUAAUGUUGCCCCUGGGUGCUUGGAGGAAUGUGAGUUAGAUCACGGGACUGUUAGGGCUGCUGUUGUCAAAGUGACAGGGUUCCUUGAUGUUUGUGAAGUACAUCUCCGCCAUGGGGUGGAAAUUCCGCCCCUCAUUGUCGUGGUAGCCAUACACUUUAAUGGCUCUGGUGGAGCGACGGCUGUAAAAGAGAUCCUGAGUAAAGUUUCAACGCCUUCCGAGACUGUGCUUUGCAAGGCUGGUGAUGGCGAGCCACUCUUUGACGGUGAUGGGAACUUUGUUGGCAUGGCUAUUUUUUCCGAUGGCAGGCAUGUUUAUUUGCAAGGAAGUGUAAUUUUUGAAAAUUUGGUGGAAUUUGCGAGAAGGAUUAGGGUACGCGUGCGACAGCAGGAACGAUAUAGAUGA